AGCCCAGUAAUCUAUACAAUGUACACUGGAAAGCAAAGCUAGAGAUACAUAUUUACUGAAUUUGUCAUUCAGCAAGAUUCAGCUCCCAGUGUGGAGAAGCAUUAUUCGGUAGAAGAGUGCUGACAAGUGGAAUGGUUGCUAAUUACUGCAAUUGACUGAAAGAACAAAACAUGUAUUCCCCCAGAACAAUGCCUCUUAUAGUGGACAUUCAGAGAAUAUUUGUUGGAUAAAUGAACUUGUUGAAUGAAGAAAGCACUACCUGUCAGUUGUUGGAGAAAUUUAAGAUCUCAGGGUACAACCUAUCCACACAGAGGAAAAUACUGAUGGGCCUUCCUUGUCACAUGGUGAUGGUGACUGGAAUCACAGAAAUGGUGUCUAGAAGAAAAUAGAGGGCAAGAUGGAGUCACUUACAUCAAGCAGUGACUCAUGUCAGGCAACCAAGAGCGUUGCAGCUAAGACCAGAUGGUGCUGAAACCGGCACAGACUGAUGAUGCCCAGAACUGACGACCAGCAGAACCUGAAGAGGCCUCGAAUGGCCCAAGGCUGAUUAAACUCCUUUAAAAAGGGGUGACUUUUGCAGCAAACUGUCAGACUCUCCAGACACUAACCCUUUCCCAUCUGACCACACUGAAAAGGCAACUGGUGCCAAAGCUCUGGCUGACUGGUCUCUGAGCAUAGCAGAGAUCCUCCACUGCUAGAAUAUAAUAAGCAGUAUGCACGGAGAGCUGACCAGACCAGACUGAGGCCUCAUCUCUACUAGGCAUUCAUAGAUGGACUUUGAGUUGGGUUUCUCAACUUCUCACCUCUUGCUGUAUCUUGUUUGUAGUGUGCUUUACUUUGUGUGAUAUGUAUGAAACCAAGUUAAAUGUGUAACAAAAUGGCAUUGAGUUUGGAAUCUUGGACCUGCUUUACAAUUAUGUUAGCCUUGUUUUGUGAUUGAAUAAAGCUAACACUGUGGAAAGACACAACUCAUGUCUGUGCACUCAUAAUGUGCUUGUGACAAACAUAUAUAUAAAUAAA